rnacentral:rRNA from 1 species
CCUACGGGUGGCAGCAGUGAGGAAUAUUGGUCAAUGGCCGAGAGGCUGAACCAGCGAAGUCGCGUGAGGGAAGACGGUCCUACGGGUUGUAAACCUCUUUUGUCGGGGAGCAAAGCGAACCACGUGUGGAUCAUUGAGCGUACCCGAAGAAAAAGCCUCGGCUAACUCCGUGCCAGCAGCCGCGGUAAUACGGAGGAUGCGAGCGUUAUCCGGAUUUAUUGGGUUUAGAGGGUGCGUAGGCGGGCUGUUAAGUCCGCGGUAAAAGCCCGGGGCUCAACCCCGGAGAGCCGUUGGAACUGGCUGACUUGAGUUGUCGAGGGGUAUGCGGAAUGCGCAGUGUAGCGGUGGAAUGCUU